rnacentral:rRNA from 1 species
UAAGGAAUAUUGGUCAAUGGACGCAAGUCUGAACCAGCCAUGCCGCGUGAAGGAUGAAGGUCCUCUGGAUUGUAAACUUCUUUUAUCUGGGACGAAAACGGGAUUUUUAUCUCAAUUGACGGUACCAGAGGAAUAAGCACCGGCUAACUCCGUGCCAGCAGCCGCGGUAAUACGGAGGGUGCGAGCGUUAUCCGGAUUUACUGGGUUUAAAGGGUGCGUAGGUGGGCUUAUAAGUCAGUGGUGAAAUCUCCGAGCUUAACUUGGAAACUGCCGUGGAUACUAUAGGUCUUGAAUUAUCUGGAGGUAAGCGGAAUAUGUCAUGUAGCGGUGAAAUGCUUAGAUAUGACAUAGAACACCAAUUGCGAAGGCAGCUUACUACGUAUAAAUUGACGCUGAGGCACGAAAGCGUGGGGAUCAAACA